rnacentral:rRNA from 1 species
ACGCGAAGAACUCUUACCAGGGUUUGACAUGCACGUGCACCAGCCAGAGAUGGUUGUCCCUUCGGGGCGCGUGCACAGGUGCUGCAUGGCUGUCGUCAGCUCGUGCCGUGAGGUGUUGGGCUAAGUCCCGCAACGAGCGCAACCCCUGUGGUCGGUUAGGAUGUCCGACGAGACUGCCACGCUAAACGUGGAGGAAGGUGGGGAUGACGUCAAGUCAGCACGGCCCUUAUGUCCUGGGCGACACACACGCUACAAUGGGCGAGACAACGGGUAGCCAACCCGCGAGGGGGAGCCAAUCCCAGCAAACUCGCUCUCAGUUCGGAUGGCAGGCUGCAACCCGCCUGCCUGAAGCCGGAGUUGCUAGUAACCGUGGGUCAGCACACCACGGUGAAUACGUUCCCGGGUCUUGUACACACCG